CCUUCAGUGAAAUACCGACCCCCAUACGAUCACCGAAGUUAAGCAACGUCGAACCUGAUCAGUAGCUAGAUGGGUGACCGUUUGUAAAUACCAGAUGCUGUGA